UACAGGGGGGGCAAGCGUUGUUCGGAAUUACUGGGCGUAAAGGGCCAGUAGGCGGCCGACUAAGUCCGACGUGAAAUCCCCAGGCUUAACCUGGGAACUGCGUCGGAUACUGGAUGGCUUGAAUUCGGGAGAGGGAUGCAGAAUUCCAGGUGUAGCGGUGAAAUGACGUAGAUAUCUGGAGGAACACCGGUGGCGAAGGCGGCUACCUGGACCGGUACUGACGCUGAUGCGCGAAG
rnacentral:rRNA from 1 species